AAUCUGAGGUGUUUUUGAUCUUCAGAAGGCAGGAAGGCAAAAACUGAACUGCAGGCUGCGGUCUGUGUUUAUGCAACUCUCCGAUGAAGGAGACCGACUGAGUGACAUUCUUCAUGUCUGUUACGCAGGAGAAAGACAUGCAGUUCCUGGGGGCUGUUUUAUUUCUGGCCAUCUUUGAAGGCAUUUGGGGCCAAGAAACAGUCACUCAGAAGGACCGCUUUGCUAACACCACGGAGGGGGAACCGGUCCACCUCAACUGCUCCUACCAGGGAACUCCAAAUAGUGUUCAGUGGUACCAGCAAAACCCGGAUGGCCAGAUCGUUCAUAUUGCUAUAUUAUUCCAAACCAAAACGGAGUCUUUUGGCCGAUUUGAUAUGAACCUGAAUAAACAGGAGAAAACGACCUGGUUACGUUUGAAGAAUCCCCGGCUUGAAGACUCCGGUGUCUAUUUCUGUGCGAUGAGUCACAGUGUUGCCGUGAGGCACGCAGGCUGUCCCAAAACCUGGGGUGGACCCUUCAAGUUCAGACAAGGCCCUUAGUGGUGCAUUCAAUUAAUUCUAGACAGUGACCCAGGGAAAGUUCACUCCCAAAUUAUCCUGAGAAAUAGAUGAUACUGGGAAAGAAUGAGCAAUGGAGGAACAAUUUAUGAUUUCCAUGAGUAAAUCAAAAUUUGA